rnacentral:rRNA from 1 species
GCGGAAGGAUCAUUAUCGAACACACGAAGGGAACUGUCGCUGGCUUCGGCAUGUGCACGUUCUUUUCUCUCACUCACACUUGUGCACCAUCUGUAGGCCCUYGAAAGAGGAYCUAUGUUUUCCAUUCACACCGAUCGCAUGUCCAUAGAAUGUCAUAAUGAAAUACAACUUUCAGCAACGGAUCUCUUGGCUCUCGCAUCGAUGAAGAACGCAGCGAAUUGCGAUAAGUAAUGUGAAUUGCAGAUUUCCAGUGAAUCAUCGAAUCUUUGAACGCACCUUGCGCUCCUUGGCAUUCCGAGGAGCAUGCCUGUUUGAGUGUCAUUGAAUUCUCAACCAUGUCUUGGAGACAUUACAUGGCUUGGAUGUUGGGGGGUUUGCUGGCAUUCCCAAGAUUGUCAGCUCUCCUGAAAUGCAUUAGCAAAAUGGCAGACAUACACGGCCUUCCGACGUGAUAAUGAUCGUCGUGGCUGGAGUGUCAGACGCCCAUGUUGCUUCCAAUCGAGCGUGUUUAGCUACUAGUCGGUCGUGAGGCUGGCGAACGCGGCACGACGUUGACAACUGACCUCAAA